CGAAGCGGGAAAAAGGCUGGGUGCCGCCGUCCCCCAGCUGCGCAACCCUAGGAACUCUCGGGAACUUGGCUGUGUUGUCCUGCCUCAGAGACAAAUUCAUCUAUUGUAGGCCUAGCCCCUGCCUUUGAAAACAAGGAAAGCAAAAAAAAAGAGCAUGAGGAAUUUGAAGACUGAGAGAUGAGUUGUGUAGCACCAACAUUUUCUUUCUGCCUGACCUUCAUACCUGAUGAAUUAAAAGCAUAGGAUGUUUGGAAGAGUGAGAUAGGGGACACAUUGAAAACAGAGAGGCAAUCUGAAGGCUACCUUGACGCAUCUGCAAAGCUCCCAGAUUCUGACUUUCACAAGACUUGCUUUCUGUUUCUGGGCCUCGCCUAAACAGACUGCCAGUCAUCCGAACCGUGGCAGGAUGGAGAUGUUUGUGUAAGGUAGACUCAAGUUUGCAAGACUCAAGAAGGAAACCACCAAACUAAUUUUACUUUCACUUAAACCAGAUUGAAACCAAGACUUGAAGAAUUAAAAACUUUGACAUUAACCAUUGAUUCACUCCAAUGAAAUAAUUGUGUUAUAGCCAGAAUCAUGGUGAAAUUGGAACAAGGCUUUUGAUGGGAUUUUUAAUUGAGGGACUUAUAUUAAAUUGGAUAUUUUCUUUAAUGAACAGCAUGUGGCCAAAAUUCUAUUUUCAUUAAAGUAUAUUAAGCAUCAUGACAACUCAUAUUAAACCUGCAACAAAUGAUUAAUGACAUUUAGAGACUUCAAAUGUCAUGAGACACCUUAAAUAUUAAGAAUCAAAAAGAACACCUCAAAGUUGUUUCUAUUCUUAGUAAUUAUGCUUAAAAAAACAUCUUUCCUUGCUUUGAAAGCCAGUUGCUAAAAAUAAAAACUGUUCCAUGAAAAAUCACAAUGCCCAAUGAUAAAUUUAUGUAUUUGUUUUUUAAAGGGGGAGGAUGGUGAGAAAAAUAGAAAGCUCCUGGCUGACAUCAGAGGUCACAAGAUGAGUUCCUCAUUUGUCCAAAUGACAUUCAGCUGCUAAAAGAAGUCAGACUUUUAGAGGGCUGUUGAAAAGACAGUAAGUCAGGAGGUUUUCAGUACAUGACUGCAGGGGAAUCAGACACAGGCUAGUCACUUAAGUUGCUUA
rnacentral:lncRNA from 1 species